GGACGGGAUCCAUCGGAGAGCUUGCUCGAAGAUGGUGAGAGUGGCGCACGGGUGCGUAACGCGUGAGCAACCUACCUCUAUCAGGGGGAUAGCCUCUCGAAAGAGAGAUUAACACCGCAUAACAUCAACAGUUCGCAUGUUCGGUUGAUUAAAUAUUUAUAGGAUAGAGAUGGGCUCGCGUGACAUUAGCUAGUUGGUAGGGUAACGGCUUACCAAGGCGACGAUGUCUAGAGGCUCUGAGAGGAGAAUCCCCCACACUGGUACUGAGACACGGACCAGACUCCUACGGGAGGCAGCAGUAAGGAAUAUUGGUCAAUGGGCGGAAGCCUGAACCAGCCAUGCCGCGUGCAGGAUGACUGCCCUAUGGGUUGUAAACUGCUUUUGUCCAGGAAUAAACCUCUUUACGAGUAGAGAGCUGAAUGUACUGGAAGAAUAAGGAUCGGCUAACUCCGUG
rnacentral:rRNA from 1 species